rnacentral:rRNA from 1 species
AGUGAACGCUGGCGGUAGGCCUAACACAUGCAAGUCGAACGGCAGCACAGUAAGCGCUUGCUCUUACGGGUGGCGAGUGGCGGACGGGUGAGGCAUACAUCGGAAUCUUCUUUUUCGUGGGGGAUAACGUAGGGCAACUUACGCUAAUACCGCAUAUGACCUACGGGUGAAAGCAGGGUAUAUUCGGACUUUGCGCGAUUGUAUGAGCUGAUGUCGGAUUAGCUAGUUGGCAAGGUAAAGGCCCACCAAGGCAACGAUGCGUAGCUGACCUGAGAGGAUGAUCGGCCACACUGGAACUGAGAGACGGGCCAGAGUACUACGGGAGGCAGCAGUAGGGAAUCUUCCGCAAUGGGCGAAAGCCUGACGGAGCAACGCCGCGUGAGUGAAGAAGGUAUUCGGAUCGUAAAACUCUGUUAUUAGGGAAGAACAAAUGUGUAAGUAACUAUGCACGUCUUGACGGUACAUAAUCAGAAAGCCACGGCUAACUAAGUG